CCUUCCAGGAAGAACCUCUAAGCUUCAGAUUACAAGUGACCGUACCCCAAACCGACACAGGUGGGUGAGGAGAGAAUCCUAAGGCGUUUGAGAUAACCAUGGUGAAGGAACUCGGCAAAAUGACACCGUAACUUCGGGAGAAGGUGUGCCCUUAUUAUGUGAAGGCCCUGCGGCCGGAGCAGAAAAGGGUUGCAAAUACCAGGUGGUCGCGACUGUUUACUAAAAACACAGCACUCUGCAAACUCGUAAGAGGACGUAUAGGGUGUGACGCCUGCCCGGUGCUGGAAGGUUAAUUGAUGGGGUCAGCCGCAAGGCGAAGCUCUUGAUCGAAGCCCCAGUAAACGGCGGCCGUAACAAUAACGGUCCUAAGGUAGCGAAAUUCCUUGUCGGGUAAGUUCCGACCUGCACGAAUGGCGUAACGAUGGCCACACUGUCUCCACCAUGGACUCAGUGAAAUUGAAAUUGCGGUUAAGAUGCCGUAUACCCGCGGCUAGACGGAAAGACCCCGUGCACCUUUACUAUAGCUUUACACUGGACUUUGAAUAUAUCUGUGUAGGAUAGCUGGGAGGCUUUGAAGCGUUAACGCCAGUUAGCGUGGAGCCAACCUUGAAAUACCAGCCUGGUCUGUUUGAGGUUCUAACCUAGAUCCGUAAUCCGGAUCGGGGACAGUGUAUGGUGGGUAGUUUGACUGGGGCGGUCUCCUCCAAAAGAGUAACGGAGGAGCGCGAAGGUACCCUCAGCGCGGUCGGAAAUCGCGCGUUGCGUGCAAAGGCACAAGGGUGCUUGACUGCGAGACAGACACGUCGAGCAGGUACGAAAGUAGGUCUUAGUGAUCCGGUGGUUCUGAAUGGAAGGGCCAUCGCUCAACGGAUAAAAGGUACGCCGGGGAUAACAGGCUGAUACCACCCAAGAGUUCAUAUCGACGGUGGUGUUUGGCACCUCGAUGUCGGCUCAUCUCAUCCUGGGGCUGAAGCCGGUCCCAAGGGUAUGGCUGUUCGCCAUUUAAAGAGGUACGCGAGCUGGGUUUAGAACGUCGUGAGACAGUUCGGUCCCUAUCUGCCGUGGGCGUUGGAGAUUUGAGAGGAGCUGCUCCUAGUACGAGAGGACCGGAGUGGACGUACCUCUGGUAUUCCGGUUGUCACGCCAGUGGCAUUGCCGGGUAGCUAUGUACGGACGGGAUAACCGCUGAAAGCAUCUAAGCGGGAAGCCUCCCUCAAGAUGAGAUCUCCCUGGAACUUUAAGUUCCCUGAAGGGCCCUCGUAGACUACGAGGUUGAUAGGCUGGGUGUGGAAGUGCAGUAAUGCACGUAGCUAACCAGUACUAAUUGCCCGUGAGACUUGACC
rnacentral:rRNA from 1 species